GGCCAAGUGGUCUAGUGGUAUGAUUCUCGCUUAGGGUGCGAGAGGUCCAUACAAAUGAGCAUUGCCC